rnacentral:rRNA from 1 species
AACGAACGCUGGCGGCAGGCUUAACACAUGCAAGUCGAACGCCCCGCAAGGGGAGUGGCAGACGGGUGAGUAACACGUGGGAACGUGCCUUUUGGUUCGGAACAACUCCGGGAAACUGGAGCUAAUACCGGAUAAGCCCUUCGGGGGAAAGAUUUAUCGCCAAAAGAUCGGCCCGCGUCUGAUUAGCUAGUUGGUGGGGUAAUGGCCCACCAAGGCGACGAUCAGUAGCUGGCCUGAGAGGAUGGCCAGCCACACUGGGACUGAGACACGGCCCAGACUCCUACGGGAGGCAGCAGUGGGGAAUAUUGGACAAUGGGCGCAAGCCUGAUCCAGCCAUGCCGCGUGAGUGAUGAAGGCCCUAGGGUUGUAAAGCUCUUUCGCCGAGGACGAUAAUGACGGUACUCGGAUAAGAAGCCCCGGCUAACUUCGUGCCAGCCGCCGCGGUAACAC